UGGGGUGUAGUUCAGUUGGUAGAACGACAGCUUUUGGAGCUGUAUGUCCCGGGUUCAAGUCCUGGCACCCCAGCCA
rnacentral:tRNA from 1 species